rnacentral:lncRNA from 1 species
CAUCGUCACUUAUCACACGAAAACGCUCAUAUCUCCCUCUAUAUUACGUGGUUUGGUCAAACCUUCCACACAAAAAACUCUCACGUAGAUGAGACGCAACUGCCCAUAUAAAAAUUUUGAGACAUUUACCUUCCGACGAUAGGGCUCCCCAUAGGGAAUAAUAACGGUAAAUAGUAGACAUGUUGUGAUUCCGAUAACUAAAAUUUACAAACCAAAAUUCGACCGUCCGAUAUGAUCAUUAUGACGAAAGAUGUCUAUGGUAAAAAAUUCAACUGGAUUCGACAACGUUAAGGGCUCGAUCGAAAUGGUUAACUUUAAUCGGAAAUAAGAAAACUGUAUUUUGAAGCCCUAAACGGACUCGGAUGGCCAAAAAUGCCCAUACAUCAUGGCAUUAGUGAUGAGUUUGACUCGUAGGGCCGUUACGCUUCCGAAAAGGUAUCACAAUAGUCAAUCGGACACCAAAAACCAAAUCUGCAGCAUAGUGAAUAAUAAGGGUAAAUUGCAUUGACCGCAACUAUCGGCACCGAGACUUUACCAGAAUAUAGUGAUUUUUCAACUGUAGACGUAUUUCACCAUUCUGGUCAUAUCUUAUUUCACGACAUUUUUGCAUUUGAAGGUUCUACGUAUAGUUUUUUUUUCCCAGAUGAGUUAUUGUCCAGAUCUGCAAAUAUAAGGCACUUUAGCCAACGAAAUUAAGGCACUUUAGCCGACGAAAUUAUAUUUUUCGUCGGCUAAACUUUUAAAAAUUUCGUCGGCUAAAAUUCACAGACUAUAGCCGAUGAAAUAAAUUAUUCGGAUGACGAAAUUUUAAUUUCGUCGGCUAAAGUUGACCAUAGCCGACGAAAAUUUUUAAUUAGCCGACGAAGGGAAAUUUCAUCGGCUAAAGUCCACUUUAGCGGACGAAAACAUAAUUCGUCGGCUUGGUUUUUUUAUUUUCGUCGGCUAAAGUCCACUUUAGCGGACGAAAAAAUAAUUCGUCGGCUUGGUUUUUUUUUCUGGUAGUGUCUGGAUGUAAUAUGACUAGGGGUUCCUAUGUAUAUACAUAUAUAUAUGUACAUAUAUAUACAGCCCUUCUUGGCUGCGGACGUCCGCACCAACGGUUUUGGUGCGGAUUUCUAUUUUUGUACCACUUUCAGAUCGAAUUUCCUCAUCUCCACCGUCUAGUUUCUAAAUAAUAUUGUGUAGAUCAUCUCUGCAAAAUUUCAGCCAAUUUAGUUAUCGUUAAAGCCCUCAAACUGAGUUUUUCUGGUAUGAACACAACUGGACAGAAUUCAGUCCGUCCAUUUGUUUUUCGAGUUUGAGGGCCUUAACAAUCACCAAAUUGCACUACCAGGACAAGCACUUUAGCCGACGAAAAUUUUUCGUCGCCCUGUCAGCUUAAUUCGUCGGCUAAGAUCUUAGCCGACAACCUUUCGUCGGCUAAGAUUUCGUCGGGAAAAGCUCGUCUGUGGUGACUUUAGCCGACGACACAGGUAUAAGUCGUCGGCUAUAGUCCAGACUUUAGCCGACGAAAUAAUGUCGUCGGCUAUAGUCAAGACUUUAGCCGACGACAUUG